rnacentral:tRNA from 1 species
GCUUUUAAAGGAAAACAGCUCUUCCCCUGGUCUUAGGCUCCAGUACCUNUUGGUGC